AGAGCGUAGCUUAAAAGUCGAGCAUCUCCCUUACACUGAGAAGACAUCCAUGCAAAUUGGAUCGCCCUGA
rnacentral:tRNA from 1 species